GCCGCCCUAGCUCAAUAGUAGAGCGCCGCUUUUGUAAAGCGAGGGUUCCGAGUGCAAAUCUCGGGGGCGGCU
rnacentral:tRNA from 1 species